CGUAUCUCUUCAUCUGUUCGGGUGUGCUGAUUCUGGUUCUUAUAGUAAUGCUCAUCUCAAUCCUGUGUAUUAAUGCAUUUAAAAAUUCAAGAAGAAAGAACGCACAGAGAGCGCAGGUUCAGAUCUUCUGAAGCGUGAUGAGUAUGUCUGUGUGCAGUACACUGUGACCCUAUCAUGACCACACAUCCGGCUGAACAUUAGCAGCUGAACAGUCUGCACUGCAUGUGUUAGGUGGAGGUGAUGAUACUUUAUCCUGCAUGAGAGAUGACUGCUUUAGCCAGGUUGUAUAUGCGUCUCUGCAUUGCUUCACACCAACACCAAUGUCCCCUUUGACCUGAAGCUUUA